ACCUGCCGUCUACUCUUGGACAGCCUUUUGAAAGGAAGAUUAAUACAAGAUGGCAUCAUGAGUCCGCAUGUUCACAUGAUUAAAGGUAUUCCGGUAGACGAUGGGGAUGCGUUCCAUUAGAUAGUAGGCGGGGUAACGGCCCACCUAGUCUUCGAUGGAUAGGGGUUCUGAGAGGAAGGUCCCCCACAUUGGAACUGAGACACGGUCCAAACUCCUACGGGAGGCAGCAGUGAGGAAUAUUGGUCAAUGGGCGAGAGCCUGAACCAGCCAAGUAGCGUGAAGGAUGACUGCCCUAUGGGUUGUAAACUUCUUUUAUAAAGGAAUAAAGUCGGGUAUGGAUACCCGUUUGCAUGUACUUUAUGAAUAAGGAUCGGCUAACUCCGUGCCAGCAGCCGCGGUAAUACGGAGGAUCCGAGCGUUAUCCGGAUUUAUUGGGUUUAAAGGGAGCGUAGAUGGAUGUUUAAGUCAGUUGUGAAAGUUUGCGGCUCAACCGUAAAAUUGCAGUUGAUACUGGAUAUCUUGAGUGCAGUUGAGGCAGGCGGAAUUCGUGGUGUAGCGGUGAAAUGCUUAGAUAUCACGAAGAACUCCGAUUGCGAAGGCAGCCUGCUAAGCUGCAACUGACAUUGAGGCUCGAAAGUGUGGGUAUCAAACAGGAUUAGAUACCCUGGUAGUCCACACGGUAAACGAUGAAUACUCGCUGUUUGCGAUAUACAGCAAGCGGCCAAGCGAAAGCGUUAAGUAUUCCACCUGGGGAGUA
rnacentral:rRNA from 1 species